rnacentral:misc_RNA from 1 species
GAUGAAGAACGCAGCGAAAUGCGAUAAGUAAUGUGAAUUGCAGAAUUCAGUGAAUCAUCGAAUCUUUGAACGCACAUUGCGCCCCCUGGCAUUCCGGGGGGCAUGCCUGUCCGAGCGUCAUUUCUGCCCUCAAGCACGGCUUGUGUGUUGGGUGUGGUCCCCCCGGGGACCUGCCCGAAAGGCAGCGGCGACGUCCGUCUGGUCCUCGAGCGUAUGGGGCUCUGUCACUCGCUCGGGAAGGACCUGCGGGGGUUGGUCACCACUAUAUUUUACCACGGUUGACCUCGGAUCAGGUAGGAGUUACCCGCUGAACUUAAGCAUAUCAAUAAGCGGAGGA